AAUGAACGCUGGCGGCAUGCCUAACACAUGCAAGUCGAACGAGACCUCCGGGUCUAGUGGCGCACGGGUGCGUAACGCGUGGGAACCUUCCCUUAUGUUUGGAAUAACUCUCCGACAGGGGUGCUAACACCGGACAAUGUCUUCGGACCAAAGAUUUAUCGCCGUUGUUUGGGCCCGCGUUGGAUUAGCUGGUUGUUAGGGUAAUAGCCUACCAGGGCGAGAAUUCACAGCUGGUCAGAGAGGAUGAUUAGCAACACUGGGACGAAGACGCGGCCCAGACUCCUACGCGAGGGAGCAGUGGGGGAUGUAGGAACGUGGGGGGAGGGAUGAAGCAGCACUGCCGGGUAAGUGAUGAAGGCAUUAAGGAUGUAAAGCGCUUUUACCCGGGAUGAUAAUGACGGUACCGGAAGAAUAAGCUCCGGCUAACUCCGUG
rnacentral:rRNA from 1 species